GCUUUGUGAUGCUUCAGAAGGGCUCAACAGCAUUUUUGUUUCUUCUUGGAGUCUCCUUUUCCUUGCGUCUUGGUCAUUCCAGCUUCUCUGUGCCCGGCAGCUCCACUGCAGAAGGCCUCUCCUCAGUUAACCAGACGACAUUGGCCAGACUUCAGCAGGAAGACACAUUGCACUAUCUGCAUCCAAAAGACUGCCUCUGAGCAGGAUGAGGUUGGCGUGGAUCGCUGAAGUGGAGUACCCAUAGGAGAAGAGAGGCAGGGAAGCAAUGGAGACCGUAUUCUGGACUACUGCCCAGGCACCUACAGCUGACCCUUCAGGCCUCGAACCUCAGCGAUGCCUCCCUCUGAUGCCAAGAUGUUUGAGUGGUCUGGCUCUACCGUCUACACUGCCCGUCUCUAGUAUAUCCUGAGUCACACCGUGCAGCAGGCCAAGCACAGGGUGCCCAGCAGGACUACUUCCGGGCUCUUUGUAGACCUGGUGCCCGUCAGUGCUUCCAUGGACUGCGUCUGACUCUACCGGCUGCCUCCUCUUCCUCCAGCUUCUUUCUCUCCUUGAUUUGAAGAACUGGAGGUCUCCAGUGGAGUCAGAUGGGGAAGGUUGCCUCCAGAUCUGUGUCGCCUACUCAGAUACAGCGUGGCUGUGUCACCUCGGCUCGGGCCCCUGGAGAUGGCAUGCUGCUGCUUCCAUUGGGAGCUCUGACGGUGACAACAGUUCAAGCAUCUCCCAGCAGCAGCAGCAGCAGCAGCAGCAACAGCAGCAGCAGCAGCAGCAGCAGCAGCAGCAGCAGCAGCAGCAGCUGAGAUGUCGAGGGCCUCCCAGAACAAGGGUCACCAACAACUAGGUGUGUGAUUAAAAAAUAUAUAUAAAUAAAAGUUAUGGGUUUUUUGUUGU